AACGCGACCUCAGCUCAGGCGGGGCCACCCGCUGAGUUUAAGCAUAUCAAUAAGCGGAG
rnacentral:rRNA from 1 species